GUACAAGCCAUUGUAAGGUAAAGAUUCAAAUCCUAAUCGAUCUACUCUUGAGUCUCUUCGUCAUUGUCAUCUACGCUCGUGUUCGUCGUCUUCGUCGUCUCAUUCUGAACUGUCGGAUAACCCGGUGAUUGAAUUUGUGCAAAUUGUUGGAGGAGGAGCUUGUUGCAUACUUGCAUUCCAUAAGAUAUUUGAAUUGACGAUCCUUCUCAAGGUCACGGUCCUUGAGUGUUUGAAUCUCUUCAAGUAACUUCGAGGUGUGGCGUGGAGCUGUGGAAGAUGACAAAUAUCCGUUAUCAAACAAUCUACCGAACCCAUAGCGCUUUCC
rnacentral:lncRNA from 1 species